rnacentral:rRNA from 1 species
UACGUAGGGUGCACGCGUUGUCCGGCAUUAUUGGGCGUAAAGAGCUCGUAGGUGGUUUGUUACGUCUGCUGUGAAAACCUAGGGCUUAACCCUGGGCCUGCAGUGGAUACGGGCAGACUAGAGGUAGGUAGGGGAGAAUGGAAUUCCCGGUGUAGCGGUGAAAUGCGCAGAUAUCGGGAGGAACACCGGUGGCGAAGGCGGUGCUCUGGGCCUUACCUGACACUGAGGAGCGAAAGCGUGGGGAGCAAACAGG